rnacentral:lncRNA from 1 species
UGGAGAUCAGGUCUUAAAAAAGACAACAGGGAAAACUCUGGAGUGAUGUAAGGUGUCAAGGAGGAAGCCCAAUCCAGAUAACUGGGCAGAUAUAAGAGAGGCAGGUUGGUAAAGGUGUUUUGGGAACUUGAUAUGCUGAGAGGAGUUGGACCUGCUGUCAGGUGAAGCUAGAGGCAACACAAGAACCCAGAAGGCAGACCAAGGUAUAACUCCUAGAAUCAAGCAAAAAUGAAUGCAUCAUCUGCCUGUUAGAAAAAUAUCUCUGGAACAAAGGAAGCAAUCAAUUUCACAUCAGUGAAAGAGCUAAGGUUUCACCUUCUAGUUGGAUUAUUUCUGCACAUCAUUUCUGAAAAGGUAAUUGGAAAAUUGUGCACUUAGGUGGUUAAAGACUUGUUCAACCAAAAAGUA